rnacentral:rRNA from 1 species
GAUGAACGCUGGCGGCGUGCCUAAUACAUGCAAGUCGAGCGAGCAGACGAGGAGCUUGCUCCUCUGACGUUAGCGGCGGACGGGUGAGUAACACGUGGAUAACCUACCUAUAAGACUGGGAUAACUUCGGGAAACCGGAGCUAAUACCGGAUAACAUGUUGAACCGCAUGGUUCAACAGUGAAAGACGGUUUUGCUGUCACUUAUAGAUGGAUCCGCGUCGCAUUAGCUAGUUGGUAAGGUAACGGCUUACCAAGGCAACGAUGCGUAGCCGACCUGAGAGGGUGAUCGGCCACACUGGAACUGAGACACGGUCCAGACUCCUACGGGAGGCAGCAGUAGGGAAUCUUCCGCAAUGGGCGAAAGCCUGACGGAGCAACGCCGCGUGAGUGAAGAAGGUCUUCGGAUCGUAAAACUCUGUUAUUAGGGAAGAACAAAUGUGUAAGUAACUAUGCACGUCUUGACGGUACCUAAUCAGAAAGCCACGGCUAACUACGUG